GAACUUUGCAUUUGUCACUGGGCCAUGGGUAUCCAUAUUGGUGUCAGCGCUCAUAGGAUCAGAAAUUUUAAGACCUGAAAGCUACUUCAGCAGCCAUUCAGUCCAACAUAUAUGCAAAAAGAUUUCCCAUCAUACCAUACCUAAUAAGUGGUUCUUGAGCCUUUGCUUGAAGACCUCCAAGGAGAAAGAAGCCACAAUCUCUACAGGCAACACCUCCCAACACUCCACUUUUGGGCAGCUCUAAUUGGUAAAAAGUUUUUCCUCAUAUCCACCUAAAUUCACCUCCUUGCAACUUCUACCAAUUGCUCAUAGUUCAGCCCUUUGCAUCCUAACAGACCAAAUGGAGUUUCCCCUCCACAAAUAUUUGAAGGCAGAUAUCAUGCCCUCAUUCUGUCACCUAUCUUAGACUUUCCAAGUUGAAUUUUUGGACCCAGCUGUGGACUUUACAUUUAUCCCAAUGAAGUUUCAUCUCGUUAGAUUCAACUCAACAUUCCAGCCUGCCAAGAAGACGUUUGAAUUGUGACAUUAUCAUCCAUUGUGUUAGCUAUCCCUCUCAGCUUAUGUCAUCUGUAAAUCUGAGAAGCAUAAUAUGUAUUCCUUUAAUGAAAGCAGCAAUAAAAAAUGCUAAAAAGGGC
rnacentral:lncRNA from 1 species